rnacentral:rRNA from 1 species
GACGAACGCUGGCGGCGUGCCUAAUACAUGCAAGUAGAACGCUGAAGGAGGAGCUUGCUUCUCUGGAUGAGUUGCGAACGGGUGAGUAACGCGUAGGUAACCUGCCUGGUAGCGGGGGAUAACUAUUGGAAACGAUAGCUAAUACCGCAUAAGAGUGGAUGUUGCAUGACAUUUGCUUAAAAGGUGCACUUGCAUCACUACCAGAUGGACCUGCGUUGUAUUAGCUAGUUGGUGGGGUAAGGGCUCACCAAGGCGACGAUACAUAGCCGACCUGAGAGGGUGAUCGGCCACACUGGGACUGAGACACGGCCCAGACUCCUACGGGAGGCAGCAGUAGGGAAUCUUCGGCAAUGGACGGAAGUCUGACCGAGCAACGCCGCGUGAGUGAAGAAGGUUUUCGGAUCGUAAAGCUCUGUUGUAAGAGAAGAACGAGUGUGAGAGUGGAAAGUUCACACUGUGACGGUAUCUUACCAGAAAGGGACGGCUAACUACGUGCCAGCAGCCGCGGUAAUACGUAGGUCCCGAGCGUUGUCCGGAUUUAUUGGGCGUAAGCGGGCGCAGGGGGUUAGAUAAGUCUGAAGUUAAAAGGGGUG